CCUUAUGGAUGAAUAAAGGAUGUGGUUUCUUGAGAAGGAAUCUACUCCUGGUGAAGAUGCUGUGAA
rnacentral:pre_miRNA from 1 species